rnacentral:rRNA from 1 species
GUGGGGAAUUUUGGACAAUGGGGGCAACCCUGAUCCAGCAAUGCCGCGUGCAGGAAGAAGGCCUUCGGGUUGUAAACUGCUUUUGUACGGAACGAAAAGGCUCUGGUUAAUACCUGGGGCACAUGACGGUACCGUAAGAAUAAGCACCGGCUAACUACGUGCCAGCAGCCGCGGUAAUACGUAGGGUGCAAGCGUUAAUCGGAAUUACUGGGCGUAAAGCGUGCGCAGGCGGUGCUGUAAGACAGGCGUGAAAUCCCCGGGCUUAACCUGGGAACUGCAUCUGUGACUGCAUUGCUGGAGUGCGGCAGAGGGGGAUGGAAUUCCGCGUGUAGCAGUGAAAUGCGUAGAUAUGCGGAGGAACACCGAUGGCGAAGGCAAUCCCCUGGGCCUGCACUGACGCUCAUGCACGAAAGCGUGGGGAGCAAACAGGAUUAGAUACCCCUGUAGUCC